rnacentral:misc_RNA from 1 species
UACAGAGGUCUCAAGCGUUGUUCGGAUUCAUUGGGCGUAAAGGGUGCGUAGGCGGCGGGGUAAGUCAGGUGUGAAAUCCCGGGGCUCAACUCCGGAACUGCACUUGAUACUGCUUUGCUAGAGUACUGGAGAGGGAACUGGAAUUUACGGUGUAGCAGUGGAAUGCGUAGAUAUCGUAAGGAAGACCAGUGGCGAAGGCGAGUUCCUGGACAGUUACUGACGCUGAGGCACGAAGGCCAGGGGAGCAAACGGG